rnacentral:rRNA from 1 species
GAUGACCUCUGGCGGCGUGCUUAACACAUGCAAGUCGAACGAAGAUAUUUAGAAUGAGAGCUUCGGCAGGAUUUUUAUCUAUCUUAGUGGCGGACGGGUGAGUAACGUGUGGGCAACCUGCCCUGUACUGGGGAAUAAUCAUUGGAAACGAUGACUAAUACCGCAUGUGGUCCUCGGAAGGCAUCUUCUGAGGAAGAAAGGAUUUAUUCGGUACAGGAUGGGCCCGCAUCUGAUUAGCUAGUUGGUGAGAUAACAGCCCACCAAGGCGACGAUCAGUAGCCGACCUGAGAGGGUGAUCGGCCACAUUGGGACUGAGACACGGCCCAAACUCCUACGGGAGGCAGCAGUGGGGAAAUAUUGCACAAUGGGCGAAAGCCUGAUGCAGCAACGCCGCGUGAAGGAUGAAGGGUUUCGGCUCGUAAACUUCUAUCAAUAGGGAAGAAACAAAUGACGGUACCUAAAUAAGAAGCCCCGGCUAACUACGUGCCAGCAGCCGCGGUAAUACGUAGGGGGCAAGCGUUAUCCGGAAUUACUGGGUGUAAAGGGAGCGUAGGCGGCAUGGUAAGCCAGAUGUGAAAGCCUUGGGCUUAACCCGAGGAUUGCAUUUGGAACUAUCAAGCUAGAGUACAGGAGAGGAAAGCGGAAUUCCUAGUGUAGCGGUGAAAUGCGUAGAUAUUAGGAAGAACACCAGUGGCGAAGGCGGCUUUCUGGACUGAAACUGACGCUGAGGCUCGAAAGCGUGGGGAGCAAACAGGAUUAGAUACCCUGGUAGUCCACGCCGUAAACGCUAAAAGGGGGUGUCGGGGAGGAAUCCUCGGUGCCGCAGCUAACGCCAUAAGCACUCCCACCUGGGGAGUACGACCGCAAGGUUGAAACUCAAAGGAAUUGACGGGGGCCCGCACAAGCGGUGGAGCAAGUGGUUUAAUUCGAAGCAACGCGAAGAACCUUACCAAGGCUUGACAUCCCGAUGACCGCUCUAGAGAUAGAGCUUCUCUUCGGAGCAUCGGAGACAGGUGGUGCAUGGUUGUCGUCAGCUCGUGUCGUGAGAUGUUGGGUUAAGUCCCGCAACGAGCGCAACCCUUAUCUUCAGUAGCCAUCAUUCAGUUGGGCACUCUGGAGAGACUGCCGUGGAUAACACGGAGGAAGGUGGGGAUGACGUCAAAUCAUCAUGCCCCUUAUGUCUUGGGCUACACACGUGCUACAAUGGCUGGUAACAAAGAUGAUGCGAGACGGCGACGUUAAGCAAAUCACAAAAACCCAGUCCCAGUUCGGAUUGUAGUCUGCAACUCGACUACAUGAAGCUGGAAUCGCUAGUAAUCGCGAAUCAGCAUGUCGCGGUGAAUACGUUCCCGGGCCUUGCACA